rnacentral:rRNA from 1 species
AGCGAACGCUGGCGGCAGGCUUAACACAUGCAAGUCGAGCGGGCGUAGCAAUACGUCAGCGGCAGACGGGUGAUUAACGCGUGGGAACGUACCUUUUAGUUCGGAACAACACAGGGAAACUUGUGCUAAUACCGGAUAAGCCCUUACGGGGAAAGAUUUAUCGCCGAAAGAUCGGCCCGCGUCUGAUGAGGUAGUUGGUGAGGGAAGGGCUCACCAAGGCGACGAUCAGUAGCUGGUGUGAGAGGAUGAUCAUCCACAUUGGGACUGAGACACGGACCAAACUCCUACGGGAGGCAGCAGUGGUGAAUAUUGGACAAUGGGCGCAAGCCUGAUCCAGCCAUGCCGCGUGAGUGAUGAAGGCCCUAGGGUUGUAAAGCUCUUUUGUGCGGGAAGAUAAUGACGGUACCGCAAGAAUAAGCCCCAGCUAACUUCGUGCCAGCCGCCGCGGUAA